rnacentral:misc_RNA from 1 species
GUAGGUGAACCUGCGGAAGGAUCAUUACCGAGUACCCGGGCCUUGGGCCCCUACUCCAACCCUAUGUUUAUUUAUCUCAGUUGCUUCGGUGGGGCUGUUAGCAGGCUGUACCCUCUAGCAGCUAGGGCAUGUCCCUGGGCCUUUUAGGCAUCCGCCGAGGGACCAUACCCCUAAAACUCAUAUUUUGUCUGAAAAUCAGAAAAUUAGUCUAAAAACUUUCAACAACGGAUCUCUUGGUUCUGGCAUCGAU